UACGAAGGGGGCUAGCGUUGCUCGGAAUCACUGGGCGUAAAGCGCACGUAGGCGGAUUGUUAAGUCAGGGGUGAAAUCCUGGAGCUCAACUCCAGAACUGCCUUUGAUACUGAGGAGCUUGAGUCCGGGAGAGGUGAGUGGAACUGCGAGUGUAGAGGUGAAAUUCGUAGAUAUUCGCAAGAACACCAGUGGCGAAGGCGGCUCACUGGCCCGGUACUGACGCUGAGAUGCGAAAGCGUGGGGAGCAAACAGG
rnacentral:rRNA from 1 species